ensembl:lncRNA
AAGGCAGAGAGGAGCAGAGAGGAAGAGAAAGGCAGAAGGAGCAGAGAGGAAGAGAAAGGCAGAGAGGAGCAGAGAGGAAGAGAAAGGCAGAGAGGAGCAGAGAGGAAGAGAAAGGCAGAGAGGAGCAGAGAGGAAGAGAAAGGCAGAGAAAGGCAGAGAGGAGCAGAGAGGAAGAGAAAGGCAGAGAGGAGCAGAGAGGAAGAGAAAGGCAGAGAGGAGCAGAGAGGAAGAGAAAGGCAGAGAGGAGAGGAGCAGAGAGAAAGAGAAAGGCAGAGAGGAGCAGAGAGGAAGAGAAAGACAGAGAGGAGAGUGGGAGCCAGGUUCAUGGGAGGUAAAUAAAUAAUCCAGAGGUGAAAAUGAAAUGUAAA